rnacentral:lncRNA from 10 species
UGCUGACAAACCUACCUCCCUCCCUGUGUUGCCCAUUCAGAACUCACGACUCAGCCACACCCCACGCAGUGCAGGUACGCUGACCGUGGAAUUUACUGCCUGAGCUAAGGGAGUUGUGAGUAUGAAAAGGAGCACUAUUAAUAAUUGAUUCAGGGUGAAAAGCUUACAUUUGAACUGCGCUAUCUCAGGAGACCCAGGACAUAGGAUCAUCAGCCCAAGUGCGGAGCAUCCCUGCAUGGCUGCCCUCCCGGCUCACAAGCCCUCUGCUGAUGGCUUCUUCAGGACAGAUGUCCAUCCUUGGUCCAGCCCGCAGUCGUCAGGCUGACAGAGCCAGCAGGUGUAAAGCAUCCCAGCCCACAACUAGGAGAGGGCAUGGCAUGGACUCAGAGGACCCUCAGCAGGUGUCAGCACAACUGGCAGGCAUCCAGCACGGGCUGCGCCUAUGAAACGUGUGCUGAGCUUGCUCACCGAGUAAGACCGCACGGGCCCCAUCCAGUUAAACUCCCUGGAGCGUGGGGAGAGGAGGACCACGUCUGGGAAGGCAACAUUUCUGAGGGACUCCUCCAGAAGGCGCCACUCCUCUGAAGAUGACAGUUUCAGGGUGCCAUCUGCAAAUGAGCAUUGGAGUAGCUGGGGGCUCACCUCACAGGAGAGGGCUGACCACGGCUGGAGGGGCUGAGGGCCUAUGGGAGCAGAGCACUGGCUGGCAAGGGGGAGCUGGGGAGAGGAAGAAAAUGGGCCUCUCCUCUUUGGCAUGUUGUUUACCAGUUCCAUGCCCAGAAACAGGGCGAAGAGUCUCUUGGUCUGUUUAGCUCCUCUUCUGCCGCACUGAGUGGCCUCUAACCCCAGGUCCUAGCACUUAGGAUUGGGCCAUUCAACUGUGCAUUAAAAAGCAGCCUGGAGACCAAAUCAACUUUUAUUACCUUGUUUGUCUGGGAAAAUCUGUUCCAAAUUCCAAAGAACAGACUUAAACAUGAGCUGCGGGACACAACCCAUGUGUAAGUUGGAGCUGUCUGGAGAAGAGAGCACUGAUCUGACCGCAGUGAAGAACACAAUCUGGCAUAAUCUGUGCCUACAGCAAUGGGAAUCACUAGUGUUAUAAAUAAAACAGGAACAAGAAUUAUUACAUGAAAGACUUUAGAGGAAAAAAUGUUCCUUUUUGAAAAACAACAUCCAUCUGUGCAAUGGUAAGAGGUACUUAGCGAUCAUUCAAUUAGAAGCAAAAUAAAGACUAAAGAGUCUCUUUUCUUCAGGUAGCUCAAAGACUUCCAUUUCAAUUCACACCUCCAG